rnacentral:rRNA from 1 species
AUGACGGGGGCGGCGGACAAGGCCGAGCUAGGGUUCGAGGAGGAUGAUGAUAUGGCGGCCGGCACGCCGCCGCCGGCCAGGAAGAUGCAGUCGCUCGACUUCGAGCACAUCGGCUCGCUCGCGGCGGUGGCGGAGUCGCUCUCGCCCCGGAGCAAGUGGCGGAUGGCGCUCAGGAGCAUACGCAUCGUCAUCUUCCAGGCCAAGAUCAAUGUGCUCCUGCCCUUCGGGCCCCUCGCCAUCACGCUUCACUACCUCUCCGGGAACCACCAAGGAUGGGUUUUCCUUUUCAGCUUAGUUGGUAUCACGCCCUUGGCCGAGAGAUUGGGAUAUGCAACUGAGCAACUUGCUUGCUACACUGGCCCAACAAUUGGGGGGCUUCUAAAUGCUACUUUUGGAAAUGCGACAGAGAUGAUUAUCUCGAUAUAUGCACUGAAAAACGGAAUGAUUCGUGUCGUACAGCAGUCACUACUAGGCUCUAUAUUAUCAAACAUGCUGUUAGUUCUUGGGUGUGCUUUCUUUGCUGGUGGGCUUGCUCAUCCUAAUAGAGAUCAGGUCUUCAAUAAGGCAUCAGCUGUUGUGAACUCUGGGUUGUUGUUGAUGGCUGUCUUGGGUCUAAUGUUUCCAGCGGUGCUUCACUUUACACAUUCUGAAGCGCACUAUGGAAAAUCCGAAGUUUCUCUUUCAAGGUUUAGUAGCUGCAUAAUGCUUGUGGCUUAUGCUAGCUAUCUAUUUUUUCAACUCAAGAGCCAGCGCAGUCUGUACAGCCCAAUUGGCGAAGAAGAAGAAAGCACUGAGGAUGAGGAGGAUGAAAAGGAGAUAGCACAGGGGGAAGCUAUCUCCUGGCUUUUUGUGUUGACUAUUUGGAUUUCAAUUCUCUCUGGGUACCUGGUAGAUGCCAUACAGGGGGCCUCUGAAUCAUUAAACAUGCCACUGGCCUUUAUUAGUGUUAUUCUGCUUCCUAUCGUGGGGAAUGCUGCUGAGCAUGCAAGCGCCAUUAUGUUUGCCAUGAAAAACAAACUUGACAUUACAUUGGGUGUCGCCAUAGGGUCGUCAACACAGAUAUCUAUGUUUGUGAUUCCAUUCUGUGUGGUAAUUGGCUGGAUGAUGGGGGAAGAGAUGGACUUGAACUUUCAAUUGUUUGAGACAGCAACUCUUUUUAUAACAGUACUUGUGGUGGCAUUUAUGCUACAGGAAGGCACGUCGAACUAUUUUAAAGGCCUUAUGCUCAUAUUAUGCUAUCUCAUAGUUGCCGCAAGCUUUUUUGUGCACGUUGAUCCCAAAUCAAGUGACAACAAAUGA